UAAUGAUACAGGGGUUAUUUUCUUUUGUUCAGACAAAGUAGUAGUAGAGUGAUGUUCUCAUACCUGACAUGAUUAAUCAUGUUCAUUUU